CCUGCCGAAGGCCGUUGGACUCGUGCGUUGUCAAUGAUGCACAUAAGUGAACGGUGGUAUUUACCGGCUGUACGUGACCGGACAGCCGCACAACGUGGAGCCGUUAAACCGAGCAGCGGAACUACAGGAAUCACAAUAAAUCCGGGGCUGAGCGGAGGAGUACUAUGUGUUACAUUGGGGGAUUUACUUGAAGAUAUUCACACAACAAUUUGAAGGAAAAACACAGCAGCUUUCCCAACAGGCUUGAAGAAACUCCUGUUUUAGUGAGGUUUAUAUCCAACAGCGGGGAGACGUGUGGUUUACUUUGAUAAGUACUGCACCUAAGGUGGAUAUAAAGUAAAUGUAGGACAUGGUGAGGAGGAUAGUGA